AAGAGCAUGGCCAGGGAAGGGAGGGGGGAGAGGCAGGAAAUCCAAUUCGAAGCUGCUAGUGCAGCGUUUACUCUGCCAAAGUCGCAGUACAGAUUCUGAAGCCGCAGCGCCGUCCCCUGCUUUCCUCGCCCCAGCUUGAGCGGGAAGCGGCAGCAGCUCCCCAGAGCCCUGACUUGGCAGGGAGGGGACGGGCACCCGAGCAGCCAUAUUGCAGCCCCCCGGGUCCCUCCUCCCGGGCAGCCGCGGGCCCCGCACUCACGACCUCCUGUGGGAGCCGGAUCUGUCCUCUCCAUCGCCGCCACCCGCCAGCCUCUGCGUCCCUUGGCUUCUGACAUCCCUUCUGGCCAUCCCCCUGUGCCGGUCCGAGCCUCUAUUUAUUUCCUUUCUUACUAUCAAUACUUGACCAGCAGAAAAGGAAAGUUUAAAAAUGCCGAUCGCACAGUUGCUGGAACUAUGGAAAAAAAUCGAGGUGGAGCCUAUGGAAAUAGAGACCACAGAGGAGGAUCUCAACGUGGAUGCUGAACCGGCCACAGAAGACACUGCAGAAGAAGGCAAAAGUGACUCAGCUGCCUCGAAGACAAAGGUAGCUGGAUCCACAGAGGUAAGAAGCAUUCCUGUGCAUUCGUUUUUUUCCAUGUUCACGUGAGUUACAUUUUUUUUUAAAGUUAAACACGAAGUCUUGUUCAGUUUAUUGAGUUGUUUCACGGUGCCCAGAGUCCAGAAGGGCAAGCUGUGAAGAGCUUUUAGAAGGCUGGACCACUCCACAGGAAAAUGUGAAUGUUUUGGCAUCCUGUGGGGAAUCCGAGUGCUUUGUGCAGUGAUGUCCUUGUACGGCAGGGGCUGCGUAGCGUGCUAAACUGGGGAUGUCAUCUUGCCAUGUAUUAUGAUUUUAGUUUGAUUCUGAAUCUGUGCAUCACUUUUUGUCCAGUAUUCCUUUUAAAACUACGAUGUGCCUUCAAAAUAAGCUGGAAUUACCAGAGGCAGAAGCGAGCCAUGACAGCGAGGCAAAAGUGGGGUGCUGAAGCUGCCUGGGGCUGUGUCUGCCCUCGGGGUUUGCAGGUUGGUUGCUGACUCAUGUGUGUGGCUCAGCAACAGUUUUUCUAGGAAUUAGGACUAAAAUAGGUAAUUUUAGAUGGAGGUAGAUUUCUCCUAUUUCAAGCAUCUAUCUGGUUUUAAUACCUUUAUUAACAAAACAUUUUUAAAGAUAGUUUAAUGGCUGUUUUCAAUCCCUUUGGGCUGCAUCACGCAGGUGAAAUGUAGUAAGUCAGUAAUCACGCCACGUGCGGCUGUGAUGCCAUGGGAUUGGUCAGCCUUGGGGCCGCGCCUCUGCAGUGGUCGCCGCAGGCUAAAUGGGCCUGCUCCCUGUAGGUGCCAAACGGGUCAUUGGAAGUUGGUUGAGCUUAUUCUCAUCUACGUUGAUGCCUUAAACUGUGCUGUAGUUCAUGUGAAACAAAAAUACUCCUGAUUUUCUGGCAGCUUUCCUGAAGCUAAAAAGCAAAAAUAUAAUAAUAAUAAGGUUAAAAAGGUCUUCUGAGGACAGCAUGAGCUCUGCCACAGGGAUCUUGCUGGGCAGCGGGUGGCCCUCGGAGCUGCCCAGGGAGGGCACUGCACAAGGGUGUGGCUGCCUUUUCUCAGCGCUGUCGCCAGGGCCUGCAAGUCCCUGACAGGAGAGGCCGAGUCCCACCUGGUUUUAGGUGGUCCCAAAUCCUGGAUGAGAGGUCCCUGCUGCAUUCCAUUGCCAGCAAUGCUUGACACUUGAAUUCCACUGUUUUACUUUUUCCAUACUUGUGGUACUACUAUCUGGGUCUGAACGCAUUUUGCAUAAAUUGAGUUUCCUUAUUGGACGUGGAACUUGUGUUUUGUACGGUUGAUGGUGACUGUGCAAAGGUGAUGAGUGGGCACACAGAAUCUCAAGCUGGUUCUGACGGUUUCAGCUAAGGGGUUAGGCAAAUGGCUGACUCCCCAGUUUGGAUUACAUCCUAACGUACAUCAACUCAGCAAACGAGGCCUGCUGGCGUGGGAGGAACACAGUCUUCUCUUCCUUUCUCAUCUCUUGUCAGUCUGGUCCAUAAUCUAUUCAAGAAAAAAAGAGUCAAGCUGUAAUUGGUGAUUCUUAGCGAAACUUGAUGUGGCUUUAUCCAAAUGUGUGACGAACUGUGUUUCUUGGCAAAUGAAAACGUUUUAUUAUUAUCUAUAUCAUCCCAAUCCACACCUAGCCUGAGCACUCUACAGAAAGAUGACACGUUCCAGUACUGGGUGUUUCUCCUCUCUUGGUCAUAGCAGUGAACGUUGGGCCAGUGGCACAAGCAUGGGUCUGGUGGGUGCUGCACACUGAGUUCAGGGCCGGGGUAGGGUGUGGGCGCCCUUGGAGAGCCGUUCCUUCCUAAGUCAACAGCCAGGCCGGCCAGGCGUUAACCAUAAGUGCCGUAGUUGGAAUUGGAAAGUGUUCCCAGGAAAGCAGCUGUUUCUGCCAGGACACUGUGUCUGGUCACAUCCUAGGGUCAAAGCACGGGAGAACCCCAGGAGCCACGUGGCCACAGAGUCUCUGUGGGCUGAGGGCCAGCAAAAUCCCCUCCACUGCCUUUAGCCCUGGAGCAGGUUGAACUCCUGGCAAUGUUCCCAGAUUCGCCUUGAAUUUGAUAGGCAGGAACCCCGUAGGUUUAGGAUAAAAAACGCAAAUCAGAUCUCACACAGCAUCACCCAGGAGCAGCCCAGAAGUCUGACAAGAUAGGAAGGCAGCAGUGAUUGCCAGAUGAAGGCUUUAACUCUCCCUCUGCUGAUCAUUCUGUUUUUUUUUUUUUUUUCCCUCUCUCUCUCCCUCCCUACCCACCCCUCUCUGUACAUAUUUUUAAAAGACUCCACGAAAGUUGAUAUUCAGCAGAUUGUUAUACCAGGUUAGAGGAUUCCAGGGUCUCCUGCUGAAACUCCUAACACAGACUGAGCCUGUGAGGCAGAGGCAGGUGCCCCUGCUGCUUUGCUAAGCAACAUUCGGCCGCUCACCAGGCCGGUCCCAGAAGCGUGGGUGGCACUGACACAGCAGUCAGCGUCUUUCAUGGAUUUUGCCUAAUAAGUCCGCAAGGUGCCUCUAGUUCCACAGCUAAUUGUAUGUCCUCUUUCUCCAGUGUGAGUUCACUCUUUAUGUAUUUGCCUUUAUAAAAAAUGAAAUUUUAGACACAAAGGAGGUUCCAGUUCCAAAGGGAGGAUGUUUUCUUUUGUCCACACCCAACCUCAACCAGAACUGGGGGAGUUCGUCCCGGGCCACUGCUGCCCGCUGAGGCCCUCUCUGGGUUUCCUCCUCUUUCUUCCCUUUCCUUACGGCUUCGAAGUGAACACACAUGCCCUGUGUUACAGAGCUGCAUUGAUCCGCCACCUAUCAAUUGUGUGGGACUUGAAUAAAGAAAAAGUAAUUGUUCCUCAGCUUUCCAGCUAUUGGAAGGAGAGAAAUGUGAGCACUCUUAUUAUGGUGCAGCGGUGGCCAAGGUAGCGAUUUUACACGUGGGGACACAGAGGCAGACUCCAGUCGCAGAACAAUAAAACCCCCAAGGUUUGCACCCAAACAGUGAGAGCAGGCUCUGCCGUGGUUAGCAAUCCAUGCACACACUCUGUGUCGGCCGGCUGCCUGACACCAGGGUGUGUGUGUAUGUGUUUGCAGAGGUGUAUUGUCUUUAGUUCUUAAUGAUUUGGGAAACAAUGUGUUCUUUUGUCAGGUAACUUGAUAUGCAAAUAAAAUAAUGAGGUGACUCAAACUCAGUCCUUUGCAAAGCAACUUCGGGAGCUGCAGUGCGGGGUGAAGCCUGGAACAUUGUGGACACUCAACACAUUCUGGCCGAAUGUUCACCCUUCCUGAGUCCCUUUGAGGCUUGCUGGCAAGUGGAGCCCAGUCUGAAGGGUUCCUGGGUGACAGCAGCAUCCCUUAGCUGAGUCACAAAAUUAAUUUUCCAACUAGGAUCCUGAAGGGAGCACGAGCUGGCUUCUCCUUCCGUUUUGUCUUCCUCUAACCACACUUUCACCUCUGGACCACAUUGAUCCGGGCCACGCUGAUCUGCGCGGACUUUGUGGUCUUGGCUAGAGGGGUGAUUUUUCUGUUUUCCUCUGUCUUUUUCAUCAAAUCAUUCCGUGCCUCUGCCUUGCAGGCUGAAGUGUGUGAGACGGUAGUCGCAGGUGUAUUUGGCUUCUUGAUGGUGUUGCUCAUAGGGAGGUGAUAGGCUACACUAAAAACUGGGCAGAAUCUCGGUAACAAAAUAUAAAAGUCUGGUUCUUCAGUCUGUUUCCACAGACUAAAAUUCCAGUGUGGAGCCGUCUCUUCCCGCAGAUAGCUGAGCCAUUCCUCUUUGCUAGGGCAGCUCUCAGGUAAGGAAGGGACCUUCGUUCACUCUUGUGGCGGUGAGUUGGUGCAGACAUCUGGGUGCAGCAGGGUUCAGGGAUUGGGAGGCAUGUUCCUUGGACUUGUAAACAAAGGCAAGGGAGAGAGGCGCAUUAAGCCCGCAGGGCCAUGCAGCUGGCUGCAAACACUGUGGGGUGAGUGGGGUGCUGAGGGAAGCUUCCAGAACAGGGGUGGCAGCAAAAGGAGAUACUUGCAGCUAAAAAGGAGCACCUUGCAACCUCUAUGCUGUUGUGCAUUCCAUCCCCAAACAACCACUGAAGAGACAAAUUCCUUUUCCUUCCUGUAGUUACUUGAGUCACUGGGUGGGCUUUCAAAAUCUGUGCAUUACACUUCAGCAGAAAAUAGUGGUGUAAUCAGAGUUAGAAUUUGAGCUAGAAAAAUCCUUCGAUUGAGGUCAUACUUAUAAAUGUCUUUUUGGGAUAGCUGGAGAAAAAUCAAAAAAUAAUUUUAGGCAAAAAAAAAGUAGAUCCAAUGUUCUAUCAUAUUCAGCUAUAGCCCACCUCCUCACUUCUUAUAGAAACAGGUAGGAUUUUUAGAAAAUGUUUGAAAGGAAAACACACAUGCACACAAAUCCAAAAAUUACCAAGGCUUUUCAUUCAGUUGUAGGAUUAUAUGUAAUUUUUAUUUUCUUCAUAUUUUUAUAAUUUCCAAAGAAAUCUAUAUUGCUAGUAUAAUAAUUAUAUUUGAAAGUUAAAUAUAAUUUAAGCUACAGGCUUAAAGUUAAGGCUCAACUUAUUCUAAAAAAUUUUAAAAUAGCACUAUUAUCAUUGGGUGAUGAUACGGUAGAUUGAAGUUAUUCAGUAUAUCUUGGGUUUAGUGACGUGGAUAGGUCUUGUAUCUCAGGCAAUUUCACCAAUUGAAGGUAUCCUGUAUUCACUGACAUGAAAAGAAGUAUUGAAUCCAUUAAUCGAACAAGUCACUGCCACUUACCAGUGCAACCCAAAAGACGUUGUCAUGAUAAUUAUACACCUCAGGCUACUCAAAGGGAAUGUUUUGUUUGGAAUUUGUAAUUCACCCUGAGAAUUUCUUACAUCAUAAUCACAGCCAUUAUGACAUUGACCUUCAGUAAACUAGAAAGUGGGAAGUGUUUUGUUUGUAACAGGCUGGAGUACUGUGUCACCGUGAAGGGAGCGUAAACUCAAUCUCCCUUACCCUGUUCAGAAGAGCUGGUAGUCACUGAGUGCCUUCCAUUGCCCCAGCCAAUUUUUUCAUAAUCACUGUUUCUUUAUAUUACUUUUAGUAUUGCCAUUUUACAGAUGAGGAGAUGAAGCUCAAAACAAAUUAAGCAAAUCACUCAGUCAUGCAUCUAAAAUGUGACGCUUAGCCCCAUGUCUUUCAAAAAAGUAAGAUGCUCUUUGAAUUUUCUUACUUAAAUGCCAGUUCCACAUCUUACACCUUCUACACCACUUUAAGCCAGCACUUUCUAAAUCAAGGUCUCAGAAAAUAAGAGCUAUUGGGAAUGAUGGUUAUCCUUUAUAAUCUACUAAAAGUUAAACAAAGUCAUUAUCUUGUUAUUACUGCAGGAUUUAUUGAGCCUCUAUGUGUUGGUGCACACUGAGCCUGUCCCUGAGCUGCGGAUGCAAUAAGGAACGUAUUUCAUCCCACACUAAGCGGGCAGCAGGGAUCUUGGAGGUGGGAGCAGGUGCAGGGGCCACAGCUAAGGAGGGCUGACUGUGCUCGUGGCCAUGGGUUGUCACCGCUACUUGAGGGCUGGUGUGCUGGGUGCACCUGCUGACCUGCUGCCCUGGCAACACUUGGGAGCUUCCUAUGGCACUCGACUUUGUGGAGUCCAGUGUCAGGAGCACUGUUCAUGAGUCCAGAGAUGCCGCACACACUACCAUGCUGGCCGGUCACAUGGAGGCUCACUCCAGGGCUGUGGUUCUCUUCACGUGGCCUAACUUCUAGGUCCUUUCCUUGUUCAGCACAGUGGCUGUUCCUCCUGCCACCUGCCCUGGAGCUGGCAGGGAGGAGAAAGCCCCAGGCUGCAGCUGAGAAACCCGGGCGGGGUCGCCCCAUUGGCCGUUGGGUCUUGGGAAGGUCAUGCCACCUCCGUGGGUGUAUGUUGAGAGGACAGAACUCGGUAGAGAAAACGUCAAGGCCGCGGAAGUGCUUUGUUGUUCCUGCAUGUGUGUGUUGAUUCACAUGUAUAUGAACACACACGUUGUGUAGUGUGUAAAUGUGUGAAAUAUGUAGCAUGUGACUGUAGCAUGUGUUUACACAGCUGCUUGCAUGGAUGCAGGCGUCACUGUGGCAGCUGCUGUCCGAGUCCCUGUGCCACAUCUUCCUCGUGUUAUCAGGGGUUGUGGGCUCAUGGCUGCAGGCUCCUUCUGGUUUGUUUUUCACAGCGUGAGAGCACCCGGCUGGGCCUGGGGAAGUGCAGCCACACUCAAUGUAGUCAGUGACAGGGACUCUGACCCCUCCCCAACCCCCUGUUCCCUGCCUCAUUCUGCUUCCCCACCUAGGCCUGGGGCAUGGCCUCCUCCAGCCUUCCUGCAACCACCCUCGCCUGCCUUCUCACUGUGGUCGGAUUUUACUCCUUCAGCUUCACUGAGCUGCCUUGUGAGGAGAGAACUGCGGGUCCCAUGCUGUUAGACCUGAUCCCCGCAUUCCAGCACCUCCUCCGGGCUUGCCGUUCUCGACACCUUCCUUUAGGGAGCACCCGGCUCCUCGGCCACCCUGGGGCAGAACCUCCCACUCUUCCUCCCACCCCACAGUCUUCCUCUUCAGGCACCUCCUGGUGUCCUUCCCUCUGCCCAUCACUAAAAUGUCCCUGGCCUUCAAUGACCCUGACCACACUGCGGCGUGCAGUGCCAGGGCUCUUCCCAGCUCUGAGCUGGGGCUCAGCCUCAUUUCUCUCACCCUCCGACUCAUGCCCUCCCCAGAGGGAGUGGAGUCCCAGCACCACAUGGUCCUCAGAGCAGGGAGCGAUGCAAGGCACAGGGCACUCAGAAGCCCCACACAUGGCAAUUCCUCACGCUCACAACUCCCCAAACACUUCACAUUCUUUCUAGCUGAACAACAAGAACCCUAACAGAAGUUGCUUUACAGCAGGCCAUGGACAGUGUUGUGUCGGCCACACAAUUCAGCAUUUGGUGGCGGACAUGGACAAGGCUGGUCAUGCUGUGAUGGAUCUGAAAACAAUCUUUAAAGGACUGCUGGGUGUUCCUCUUUCUCGAGGUACACGGACAGGCACAGCUCUGGAUUUGCUGGGAUUGUUUGCACUUGGUUAUUAUCAUGGGACCCUUGGGACUUGAUUUGUAACAGCGAACUAACAAGGUCAUCGCCGUUCAUCUGUGUGGUGCCCCACUGCUUACAAAAUGCCUUUUCUCAGUGCUCUUAUCUGUACAGGGAGGAGGUAAAGAAAUUGACAGCUCUUUCUUAAUUAACUUUCGGUGUCCAAGGUUGUUCCCCCAAGGAAAUCCAGGUUUCCCUUCUUUGCUCCUGUUUUUCCUUUGCUUUUUGUUGGUAAAUCCUUAUAGAAUACUCACUAUGUUCUGAGCACCUUACAGCGCGACCUUGUUUGACCCUCACAACCGGAGGAAGUAUUCACUCUCAGUACUGCUCUCUCCCAUUCUACAGAUGAGAGCAUGGAGGCAAUUAAGUUGUACCAGGUGACACAGCCAAGUGGUGGAGUCAUGGAUUUGAACUGAGCCAUGUGGCUUUAGGGUCUUAACUGCGAUUCUAUGAUGUAGACAUUUACUGAAAUGAAAGAUAAUUUACUCUUGCAAUUUAUUUCGUGGAAAUCACAUUUUUCCAUUUUCUUAAUGUAACCCUUUAAUGACUCCAAAAGAGUUUAAAAUUAUUCUUAGCCUUGCUUUUUCCAUGCUAAGCGAAUGCCAUGUAACAGGCUUCAGCUGAGCCCGGAAACCAGCACCUGUAAGGCAGGAAACGUGUUUCCUUCCAUGAUCCUGAUACUGCUGCUGGGACUUCUUUGUUACUGGGUCCCAAAUAUUUUUAGUUUAAGACUCUCUGUUUGAAAUGUAAUAACAAUAAAUCACAGACCCCACCUUACAGUAGCUAUAUUUUUGCUAUCCAUGCAUUGAGGAGAGCCGCCGAACCCAUCAAUGGCUUCCAGAGAAAACUGGACUUUAUUCAUGCUUGCAGCUGUUAUCACAGAAGCAUGUGAAACCGUUUCUUUGACCUACGGAAAGUCACCUGUGUACCUGUGUUUCCACCUGCGCUCUGCAGCAGCCUUGGUGCCCACAGGCCUCCAAUCUGGUGGUGCAAGGCUCAGGGUCAUGGCUGGCUCCCCUUUCCAUGUUGACUCCUGAAAGUCGGGGCAGGAGUGAAGGUCGUUUGUAGGGAAAAGAAAGAGAUCAGCCUC